UUAGAAGUUAAUAAGGGCUGAAACCUGUUUGGCUCAAUGGAUAGAGCGUCAGCCUGCAGACUGAAAGGUCCCAAGUUUGAUACUGGUCAGGGGCACAUACAUUGGUUGCAGGCACAUCCCCGGUAGGUGUUGUGCAGGAGGCAGCUGGUCAACGUUUCUCUCUCAUUGAUGUUUCUA